rnacentral:misc_RNA from 1 species
GGAAGGAUCAUUACCGAGUGAGGGCCCUCUGGGUCCAACCUCCCACCCGUGUUUAUAUAUACCUUGUUGCUUCGGUGGGCCCGCCACUUGUGGCCGCCGGGGGGCAUCCGCCCCCGGGCCCGCGCCCGCCGAAGACAUCAUUGAACGCUGUCUGAAGAAUGCAGUCUGAGCUUCUUAGCUAAAUCAGUUAAAACUUUCAACAACGGAUCUCUUGGUUCCGGCAUCGAUGAAGAACGCAGCGAAAUGCGAUAAGUAAUGUGAAUUGCAGAAUUCAGUGAAUCAUCGAGUCUUUGAACGCACAUUGCGCCCCCUGGUAUUCCGGGGGGCAUGCCUGUCCGAGCGUCAUUGCUGCCCUCAAGCACGGCUUGUGUGUUGGGCCCCGUCCCCCCUUCCCGGGGGACGGGCCCGAAAGGCAGCGGCGGCACCGCGUCCGGUCCUCGAGCGUAUGGGGCUUUGUCACCCGCUCUGCAGGCCCGGCCGGCGCUAGCCGACCCCAUCAAUCUUUCUCAGGUUGACCUCGGAUCAGGUAGGGAUACCCGCUGAACUUAAGCAUAUCAAUAAGCGGAGGAAAAGAAACCAACAGGGAUUGCCCUAGUAACGGCGAGUGAAGCGGCAAGAGCUCAAAUUUGAAAGCUGGCUCCUUCGGGGUCCGCAUUGUAAUUUGUAGAGGAUGCUUCGGGAGCGGUCCCCGUCUAAGUACCCUGGAACGGGUCGUCAUAGAGGGUGAGAAUCCCGUAUGGGACGGGGUGUCCGCGCCCGUGUGAAGCUCCUUCGACGAGUCGAGUUGUUUGGGAAUGCAGCUCUAAAUGGGUGGUAAAUUUCAUCUAAAGCUAAAUAUUGGCCGGAGACCGAUAGCGCACAAGUAGAGUGAUCGAAAGAUGAAAAGCACUUUGAAAAGAGAGUUAAAAAGCACGUGAAAUUGUUGAAAGGGAAGCGCUUGCGACCAGACUCGCCUACGGGGUUCAGCCGGUAUUCGUACCGGUGUACUUCCCCGUGGGCGGGCCAGCGUCGGUUUGGGCGGCCGGUCAAAGGCCCCCGGAAUGUAACGCCUCUCGGGGCGUCUUAUAGCCGGGGGUGCAAUGCGGCCUGCCUGGACCGAGGAACGCGCUUCGGCACGGACGCUGGCAUAAUGGUCGUAAGCGACCCGUCUUGAAACACGGACCAAGGAGUCUAACAUCUACGCGAGUGUUCGGGUGUCAAACCCGUACGCGCAGUGAAAGCGAACGGAGGUGGGAACCCUUUGGGUGCACCAUCGACCGAUCCUGAUGUCUUCGGAUGGAUUUGAGUAAGAGCGUAGCUGUUGGGACCCGAAAGAUGGUGAACUAUGCCUGAAUAGGGCGAAGCCAGAGGAAACUCUGGUGGAGGCUCGCAGCGGUUCUGACGUGCAAAUCGAUCGUCAAAUUUGGGUAUAGGGGCGAAAGACUAAUCGAACCAUCUGGUAGCUGGUUCCUGC